AAUUGGAAUAAAUUCGGAAAAGGAAUCGAUCGCCCUAGCGCGCUAAGCAAAGUUGUUAAGUAUGCAUUUUCCAAGGUUCGAGUUAGAUAGAAAGGAUUUUAACACAAAAGGUCUGUAUCAAAGUAGGGAAGGAGUGCAAUUUACUCCACACCUAACCAUACAACGUAAGGAUAGGGCAAUCCGUAGAUAGCGGGUGGGAUGCCGGGGUAAACUCAGUACAUGAAUCGACGAAUCUUCACUUCCAAAAUGAGCUAGAAAAGAUAGCGCCCAACCGUCUUUAUUCAACAAAGACUUUAUUAUAAUAUAAUUUGUUAUCGGAUCGAAAAAGUGAAUCGGUAGUGUAAAAAUUACAAUAGGAAAAUAUUCUGACCAAUGAGGGCAGAGGCAAUGGAAGGGGUAACCGACGGCCCAUAGAAUGUUAGAAAGAGUGAUCCCAUCAAAUGUUUGGACAAGACUAAGCAGGACGAAGUGAAGGGGGUCGGUACGGACUCAACUUUGUCAUCGGAACCGGCACACCAGGCAUGUCGGCAUGGGGCGCAUAAGGGAAGAGUAAAGAGAGGCGAACAGAGCGAGCGACGGGGUAGAGCGAUUAGGCAAGAGCCAGAAGAAGCAAUCAAAGCCAGCCUACGGGGGAUUCACUGAACAGCUAAACGAAGGGAAGAAAAGAAAGAAGAAUAAUCCCAAUCCGGUGAUCAGUGAUAAACGACGAUUAGGGGGGGGGAUGGGGAAGGAAAG